GGGUUAGGUAGCCUAGUGGUUAGGUAGCCUAGUGGUUAGAGCGUAGGGGGUUAGGUAGCCUAGUGGUUAGAGCGUAGGGGGUUAGGUAGUCUAGUGGUUAGAGCGUAGGGGGGGGGUUUGGUAGUCUAGUGGUUAGAGCGUAGGGGGGGGUUAGGUAGUCUAGUGGUUAGAGUUUUGGGCCAGUAACCAGCAGGUAGUCUAGUGGUUAGAGUGUAGGGGGGUUAGGUAGUCUAGUGGUUAGAGUGGAGGUCUAGUAUCCAUAAAGGUUGCUAGAUCGAAUCCCCGAGCUGACACGGUACAAAUCUGUCAUUCUGCCCCUGAACAAGGCAGUUAACCCACUGUUCCUAGACCAGUUAACCCACUGUUCCUAGACCAGUUAACCCACUGUUCCUAGACCAGUUAACCCACUGUUCCUAGACCGUCAUUGAAAAUAAAUAUUUGUUCUUAACUGACUUGCCUAAAUAUACUGUAUUGUAUUCUAUACUGACUGUUAAAUGAAGAGAAAAAUAAAUUAAAAUAAAUAAUAACGGCCGGCACGGAGCGAAUGGCAUCAAACACCUGGAAACCAUGGAAACCCCUGUGUUUAAUGUAUUUGAUACCUUUCCAGCUAUUACCACGAGCCCGUCCUCCCCAAUUAAGGUGCUACCAACCUCCUGUGGCGUAUAUUGUAUCGCUGACAUUCUUGUUUGGGUUUUUAUAGUGUAAAUUUUUAUCAGUCAUAUCGUGGCCAAAUCGCUGUACACACAGCACUCACUCACUCGCACGCCGUCGUGUGAACAGCCUAGGGCCGAUUGCAGCAGUAGCUAUGGAAACCAAGCCAUGCGGAGGGCACUCCCCGCACACUGCUAUUAGCCGAGGCAAUUGCUGGGCGAACGCCGAACUGUGAUUGGAUUAAAAAAUUAAACUGCGUGACGUAGAAAAGCCCAUGGGCCGAAAUCUCUUCCUUCCUCAUCACCACCACCUCCUCGUGUGUGUGUGUGUGUGUGUGUGUGUACAACAGUCUGCUCAGAGCUCCUACGUCACUCUGUCCUGGUAGAGUAGGACGUACAAGCUGACGUCUAUGCGGCUGAAAGCAGAGUCACUGUGGUAUCUAUAUGACUCUCUCUAGCUAAAACACAAACACUGCUUAGCAACAACUGGCUAGGUGGGUAGUUAAAACACACACUGUUUAACAGUAGGUAGGUAGGUGGUUAGGUUGGUAGGUAGGUAGGUAGGUGGUUGGUUAGGUGGUUAGGUAGGUAGGUAGCUAGGUAGGUGGUUAGGUAGAUGGGUAGGUGGGUAGGUAGGUGGUUGGGUAGGUGGGUAGGUAGCUAGCUAGGUAGGUAGGUGGUUAGGUAGGUAGGUAGGUGGGUAGCUAGCUAGGUGGGUACGUGGGUAGGUGGGUAGGUUGGUAAUUAGGUAGGUGGUUAGGUAGGUAGGUAGGUAGGUGGUUGGUUAGGUAGGUAGGUGGUUAGGUAGGUAGCUAGGUAGGUGGGUAGGUAGGUGGGUAGGUGGUUAGGUAGGUGGGUAGGUAGGUGGUUAGGUGGGUAGGUAGGUAGGUGGUUAGGUAGGUGGGUAGGUAGCUAGCUAGGUAGGUGGUUAGGUAGGUGGGUAGGUAGGUGGGUGGUUAGGUAGGUGGUUAGGUAGGUAGGUAGGUAGGUGGGUGGGUGGGUAGCUAGGUAGGUAGCUAGGUAGGUAGCUAGGUGGUUAAAACACAAAUACUCUAAAUGAGAGACAAUGACAGGUGGCAGUGAUGUCAGUCUGCAUGCAGUGUUCUUAGCUUUAAAAAAAUGGCCUCAAGGCUCAGCGCGAUAGGUUAAUCCAAUACAUUUCACCAGGGCUAGAGGGGCUGAGUGUCUAGAGGGGCUGAGUGUCUAGAGGGGCUGAGUGACUAGAGGGGGGGCUAGAGGGGCUGAGUAUCUAGAGGGGGGGCUAGAGGGGCUGAGUGUCUCGGGGGGCUAGAGGGGCUGAGUGUCUCGGGGG
ensembl:lncRNA